GAGGCACUACGGUGCUGAAGUAACAAAUGCCCUGCUUCCAGGAAAAGCCUCUAAGCAUCAGGUAACAUCAAAUCGUACCCCAAACCGACACAGGUGGUCAGGUAGAGAAUACCAAGGCGCUUGAGAGAACUCGGGUGAAGGAACUAGGCAAAAUGGUGCCGUAACUUCGGGAGAAGGCACGCUGAUAUGUAGGUGAAGCCCCUGCGGGUGGAGCUGAAAUCAGUCGAAGAUACCAGCUGGCUGCAACUGUUUAUUAAAAACACAGCACUGUGCAAACACGAAAGUGGACGUAUACGGUGUGACGCCUGCCCGGUGCCGGAAG
rnacentral:rRNA from 3 species